AUUGAACGCUGGCGGCAGGCUUAACACAUGCAAGUCGAGCGGGGUGAUGGUGCUUGCACUAUCACUUAGCGGCGGACGGGUGGGUAAUGCUUAGGAAUCUGCCUAUUAGCGGGGGACAACAUCUCGAAAGGGAUGCUAAUACCGCAUACGUCCUACGGGAGAAAGCAGGGGAUCACUUGUGACCUUGCGCUAAUAGAUGAGCCUAAGUCGGAUUAGCUAGUUGGUGGGGUAAAGGCCUACCAAGGCGACGAUCUGUAGCGGGUCUGAGAGGAUGAUCCGCCACACUGGGACUGAGACACGGCCCAGACUCCUACGGGAGGCAGCAGUGGGGAAUAUUGGACAAUGGGGGGAAUCCUGAUCCAGCCAUGCCGCGUGUGUGAAGAAGGCCUUAUGGUUGUAAAGCACUUUAAGCGAGGGGGAGGCUCUUUUGGUUAAUACCCAAGAUGAGUGGACGUUACUCGCAGAAUAAGCACCGGCUAACUCUGUGCCAGCCGCCGCCGUAA
rnacentral:rRNA from 1 species